UACAUGGCCCUGGUGCUAAAGUGUGACGU
rnacentral:piRNA from 1 species